UUUGCCUACGGGGGGCAGCAGUGAGGAAUAUUGGUCAAUGGGAGAGAUCCUGAACCAGCCAAGCCGCGUGAGGGAAGACGGCCCUAUGGGUUGUAAACCUCUUUUGUCGGAGAACAAAACCCGGGACGAGUCCCGGACUGCGUGUAUCCGAAGAAAAAGCAUCGGCUAACUCCGUGCCAGCAGCCGAGGUAAUACGGAGGAUGCGGGCGUUACCCGGAUUUAUUGGGUUUAAAGGGUGCGUAGGCGGUCCGUUAAGUCAGCGGUAAAAUUGAGGGGCUCAACCCCGUCGAGCCGUUGAAACUGGG
rnacentral:rRNA from 1 species